rnacentral:rRNA from 1 species
UACGUAGGGUGCAAGCGUUGUCCGGAAUUAUUGGGCGUAAAGAGCUCGUAGGCGGUUUGUUGCGUCGGCUGUGAAAUCCCGAGGCUCAACCUCGGGUCUGCAGUCGAUACGAGCAAACUAGAGUGUUGCAGGGGAGACUGGAAUUCCUGGUGUAGCGGUGAAAUGCGCAGAUAUCAGGAGGAACACCGGUGGCGAAGGCGGCUUACUGGUCCGGUAUUGACGCGUGAGGCGACGGAAAGCCAGGGGAGCAAACGGG